GAUGAAGAACGUAGCGAAAUGCGAUACUUGGUGUGAAUUGCAGAAUCCGUGAACCAUCGAGUCUUUGAACGCAAGUUGCGCCCGAAGCCAUCAGGUUGAGGGCACGUCUGCCUGGGCGUCACAUAUCGUUGCCCAAUGCCUAUUGCAGUGCAAUAGGAAUUUCUAGGGCGAAUGAUGGCUUCCCGUGAGCGUUGUUGCCUCGCGGUUGGUUGAAAAUCGAGUCCUUGGUAGGGUGUGCCAUGGUAGAUGGUGGUCGAGUUAGAACGAUACCGAUCAUGUGCAUGCUCCCCAAAAUAUGGCCUCUAUGACCCACACGCGUCUUUUGACGCUCAUGACGAGACCUCAGGUCAGGCGGGGCUACCCGCUGAAUUUAAGCAUAUCAAUAAGCGGAGGA
rnacentral:misc_RNA from 1 species